rfam:Pteropus alecto contig17751, whole genome shotgun sequence.
GUCUACGGCCACGCUACCCUGAACAAGCCCGAUUCUGUCUAAUCUUGGAAGCUAAGCAGGGUCAGGCCUGGUUAGUACUUGGAUGGGAGACCACCUAGGAAGACCAGCUGCUGUAGGCA